AACCCAUCGGUGGAAACAUCAUGGCUCACGCGUCUACUACUCGACUUUACUUGCGCAAAGGUCGUGGAGAAACCCGAAUUUGCAAAAUCUACGACUCCCCCUGCUUGCCAGAGUCUGAAGCCAUGUUCGCAAUUUUGCCCGAUGGCAUUGGCGACAGCAAAGAGUAAACUGCCACAGAAGGGACCGUCCUCCGCUACAGGUUAUUACCCCCUUUCUUGUAAACCCUUUUAUGAAUUCUCCGUUUUUAGUUGUUUAAUAAGUUUCGAUUCACCACCGCCCCAGAAAUAUCAAUUUGUCUUUGUUUAUAAGUAGGUGGGAAAUCGAAAAAACGUCAGUGUACAUGGUUUACCUGUAACUUUAAAAUAUCUUACGCAAUCUACCCUAUUCGCAUUCUGUUCAACAUUGUUCUGAGAUUAUCAGUGGCAAUUACUGCUUGAAUUUGAAUACAAAUAUUUUUUUUCUCAA